rnacentral:misc_RNA from 1 species
AACGCACAUUGCGCCCCUUGGUAUUCCAUGGGGCAUGCCUGUUCGAGCGUCAUUUGUACCUUCAAGCUUUGCUUGGUGUUGGGUGUUUGUCCCGAGGGACUCGCCUUAAAGUAAUUGGCAGCCAGUGUUUGGUUUUGAAGCGCAGCACAAGUCGCGAUUCAAGGCUACACGCCCGCUUCCACAAGCCUUUUUUCACUUUUGACCUCGGAUCAGGUAGGGAUACCCGCUGAACUUAA